CGGUGCCAUCCAAUACUCAAAACAAAAAAGGUGUCGUACUGACAGGCCACCACACAGGGGCACUUUAUAGUUCAUUCAUAAAAACUCUUCAUGUUGUUAUGUGGUCUCACUGAGCAGACAUCUGAAAACAUCCCUUCUGAUACAACUGAACGUUUCACAAUGGAGAGCUGCUAAUGAUUUGUAAUUAGCCCAACUCAGCUUGGUGAAGGCUCUGAUGCACAUUAAGUCAUGACACAAGGAAGUUACACAGGAAGUGGACGGGAACGGUGGUUUGCGUCUGUGAACAAAAAAUAACUGUCUUAUAGCCGUCUACCAGCGGCUGAAGCAACACAACGAGCCACUUACAAAACUCAUAGCUUUUUCCUCCAAGUGGAACAGAGAAAAGGAGCUUUGCGCAACUCAGGAUCACACAAAAGCCCCUGAGAAGCAGGAAGCAGCCAGCAGAAGAAGCCAUGCCCGUGUGCCUGUCCAUGUGUCAUUAGAAUGACAAAGGCAGCUCUCGCCAAGCUCCUCAUAUUAAUUUUGGUAGUUCUUGUCAUGUGUCUCCCAGAGUUUUUCACCGCACCUGAAGGAGUCAAGAUAUCUUUUACAUGCACAGCAAUGUGUCCAUCCUCUGAUGAUGAGAUGCAACAGUUAAUUUUCCUCAACAUUUCCCAAACUCACUUGAAGGAAACCAUCCUAGAAGUCUGCACGAGCUUCCUAAACAUGAGCUCUGAGAGAGAGACAUUUGAGCGCAGAGAGAGUGGGACACCAGAUGACCUUCAGUCGGCAUGGUUUAUAUGCGAGACAGAAAGUGACCUGCACACUAUGUAUCAGAGCAUCUCAGCAUCAGGGUCACCUGCCAGGGGGUCUUUGUUGAAUCCAGAACCGGGGUCUGUGACACAGGCUGUCACAGUGACAAGGUGUUUAAACACCAGCUUGUGCCACGGAGUGGACACGGGACAAAGUGCUUUUUAUUUCCUGACAGAAGACCUGUCCAGUCAAAGGACCCAACCUCCUUCCUCAAACCACACCUACUGUAUUGCUUACAUGGAAGGGAAGAAUAUCACAGACAUGAAUGCUACAGUGCAUGUCAACACCAUGUAUGACGAUUGGUCAUGUAAGGUUCGAAUCUUUUGGCUGACCUUGAUAUUAACAGUUGUCUUGCUGGUGCUUACCGUUGUACUGUGUCAAAUAUACUGGAAGACACGCACCUGCAGGAGAAAACCACCAUUAUCAAACCAGAAUUGGGAAUAUCAAAAUGUUCUCAGCAACAUGUUAAGAGGGGAGGCAAAUCAGCACAAUCUGUCAAAUCCAACACGAAGAUCAGCAAUUGAUAGGCCGUUAACUCCAAUUCCCGAACAAGAAUCAGAAGAGGAUCAACCUAUUUAUCAGAAUGAAGGUUUUUUAGAAGAAACUGAGGAUGCAUAUGCUAAUGAACACUAUAUAUAAAGAGUGGUUUAGGUGGACAGGAACAGAUGACAGCUCAACUGAAUGUAACUCCUGCUAUGCAGAUACUAAGAUACUACACUUGGCACUGGUUCUGACAUUCCGGGUCAGCACCCGCAGUCACCCCAGAGGACCAAUGUGUAAGAAACUGUCAAAACAGAACUUCAGGAACAUAGAUAUAUGGAAUAUUUUUAUUUUUAUUAGACUGUAUUUUUAUACUUAUUUAUGAGAGGUUUAUUUUUUCAUUUGUUAAUAUGCUGAAAUGUAAAGCCUGUGUCAGAUAAUUUAUGGUUAAGAAUAAACUUUUUAAACAGUUCCAGCGCUUGCAUGUUUUUGUCUUUAGUGUGCUUCUCCUACAAAACAACUAGUUUUUGGAGAAUACAUUUUAAAAUAUGGGUCCCGAGAGGAAACAUUCACAGACUAAUCACGUAUUCUGAUGGUUUCAGAGUGUUUCGUGUCUGGGGGAAAUCCGAGUACAACACCAUUAACGAGCUCACUGCCGUUAUAAAAUACAGACAAUGCUUAUCAUAUUCGCAAAUUUGUGUUACAAAAUGGGGGAUUUUUUUGGUCAAACGAGUAUUGCUUUAAUCUUACAAAAACAUGGUGGCAAACAAACAGGGCCUGGUGUUGGAAAUUAUAAAAUUCUAUCCAUUCAUUGAACACCAAUCAACUUUUCCAUUAUAUCCCCAUUAAGUAUGGAAAAAUAAGUAAACAUUAUCAUCCAGUGUGGCCAAAUUUCCAACGAUAUUUGAAGUUGGGAGACAGCUGCUGGUAAAAGAUGUCAAGUGUUAUUUAUUUUCCAGGCCUUUGUGCUCGACUCUGGGUUAUCCUAACAUCAGAAGAGCCAUGUACUGUACAGUGGAAGGAUUACAGAAAGCACACAACAGCAAAACUCAAGACUGCAUAGAUACAUGAAUGAA
ensembl:lincRNA